CUUUUAUGAAGAAAGAUCCAAGUAACUCACUACACUCUGUAACAGGAUUUUUAGACUGAGUAAGAACGAGACUCCAAAUCAUACCUUGAAGACUGGUCUUGAGUGAAACAGCAUCGGUUCUGGCUCUGAUGCCAAGAUCAUUGCCAAACUCAGAUUGGAAUCUGUGGGAGAUUCUUUUGCAGUGGGGGUGCAGGUGUGUGACCUGGCACCAGUCUGACAGAUACAUCACUAAAUCGGGAUGUGGCAGUGAGCAAUGGGAG
rnacentral:lncRNA from 1 species